UAAGAGCUGUCCACGUGGCACUUUGCACCUUGUCUCUCUCUUCCUCUCCUCUCUCUCUUUUAUGCGUUUCUUCACCAAUGUUCUGGGUGUGAAAUUGGGAACGAGAGAGAUGGGUCUUUGAAACUACUGUGUAAGAAAGAAGUUGUCUUGGUUAAUUCCAUUGUUGAACAGCCUUUGCCUAGAUUAAGCAGUUUUUUCGAUUCCGUGAAAUCUGAAUUGCUUAGAACUGAUUUGGUUAGUUUGGUCAAGGGACUAGAUGAUUCUGGGCAUUGGGAAAGAGCUGUUUUUUUUUGAAUGGUUAGUUUUGUCUUCGAAUUAUGGAGCUUUGAAGCUAGAUCAUCAAGUUAUCGAAAUCUUAGUUAGGAUUUUAGGUAGAGAAUCUCAAUACUCUGUUGCAGCUAAGUUGCUCGACAAAAUUCCUCUACAAGACUAUAUGCUCGAUGUUCGUGCUUACACGCGAUCUUACAUGCGUAUUCACGGACAGGGAAGUAUGAAAAGGCUAUCGAUUUGUUUGAGAGGAUGAGAGAUGGGUCCUUCACCUACUUUGGAUGUUGUUCAGAUUUGUCAUUUCAUGGGAGUGAUUCAUCGUGAUCUUAAGCCUGAGAAUUUCUUGCUCGCUAGCACUGAUGAGAAUGCUAUGCUUAAAGCUACUGAUUUUGGAUUGUCUGUCUUCAUUGAAGAAUUUAGAGAUGGUACUGAUGCAGAGAAGAAACCACGUCAGUCCUUGAGAGAUGCUGCGCCAUUGGAACCUGAUGCUCAUGGUUCGAGAAAAGACAGUGAAAAGAAGCACUCUGAACAUCACCAAACAAGCUUCCAAUCUAUCUCAAGUGCCUCGUUCUAGACCACAUUCUCUGACAGAACGAGAGAAACUGGAGGAGCAAUAUGCAUUCAGAAAGACAUGAGAGACCAGCAAUGGGAAGAGACAGAGUGUGGAACAGAGAUGAUGAAAGAGGCGCGGGAAGCAGACAGAGUUAUCGAGCUGAUAGAGACAAAUUCAACGGCAAUGGGCGAAGUGGGUUUAGCGGAAGCUGGACAAGGAAUGAGAAGAAAUGGGACCAUGACUUGUUCGAGGAGGCGAACAAGAGUCCAGCCAAAGACACUGAGGAAGAACAGGUUGCAAAUGUUGAAUUUUUGUUGGCUUCUUAAAGCUGCAUAUGUUAUGGUUCUUGGUAUGGAUUCGCCUCUAAUUUUAUAAUGUCUUAGUUUGCAAGUGUAGAAGAUGAUGUCUGAGUUUAUAUAAUGAAACUCUCGUAUGUUUUUUUCCAAAGAAUGCACCAUCGGUAUAAACGUCAAAGAUAUUAAACUCUAAACCA